AUUGAACGCUGGCGGCAGGCCUAACACAUGCAAGUCGAACGAGUGGCGGACGGGUGAGUAAUGUCUGGGAAACUGCCUGAUGGAGGGGGAUAACUACUGGAAACGGUAGCUAAUACCGCCUACCAUCGGAUGUGCCCAGAUGGGAGUAGCUAGUGGGUGGGGUAAAGGCUCACCAAGGCGAAGCUCCCGAGCUGGUCUGAGAGGAUGACCGGCCACACUGGAACUGAGACACGGUCCAGACUCCUACGGGAGGCAGCAGUGGGGAAUAUUGGACAAUGGGCGCAAGCCUGAUGCAGCCAUGCCGCGUGUAUGAAGAAGGCCUUCGGGUUGUAAAGUACUUUCAGCGGGGAGGCGUUACCCGCAGAAGAAGCACCGGCUAACUCCGUGCCAGCAGCCGCGGUAAUUC
rnacentral:rRNA from 1 species